GAUGAAGAACGUAGCGAGAUGCGAUACUUGGUGUGAAUUGCAGAAUCCCGUGAACCAUCGAGUCUUUGAACGCAAGUUGCGCCCGAAGCCAUUAGGCCGAGGGCACGCCUGCCUGGGCGUCACACGUCGUUGCCCCCCCAUCUACUCCUUCGGGAUUGCGGGGGGCGGAUGAUGGCCUCCCGUGCGCCUCGCCGCGCGGUUGGCAUAAAUGCCAAGUCCUCGGCGACGCACGCCACGACAAUCGGUGGUUGCGAAACCUCGGUUGCCCGUCGUGUGCGGUCGUCGCGCAUCGAGGGCUCGAAAAAAUUGCCGGGUUCCGGCUCGGCUUUCAACGCGACCCCAGGUCAGGCGGGGUUACCCGCUGAAUUUAAGCAUAUCAAUAAGCGGAGGA
rnacentral:misc_RNA from 1 species